rnacentral:snRNA from 1 species
GGAUGUGAGGGCGAUCUGGCUGCGACAUCUGUCACCCCAUUGAUCGCCAGGGUUGAUUCGGCUGAUCUGGCUGGCUAGGCGGGUGUCCCCUUCCUCCCUCACCGCUCCAUGUGCGUCCCUCCCGAAGCUGCGCGCUCGGUCGAAGAGGACGACCUUCCCCGAUAGAGACGGUACCGUUCAUCGGUCAAGGGUAUACGGUAGCUGCGCUCCCCUGAAAGCUCAAGGUCCAUUGUGGGAGAGAGAACGUAGGGUAGUCAAGCUUCCAAGACUCCAGACACAUCCAAGUGAGGCACUGCAUGGGGCAGUCUGCCAUUGUUU